CGUCGUUCGGACCGCCUUGA
rnacentral:sRNA from 1 species